rnacentral:rRNA from 1 species
CCUACGGGUGGCAGCAGUAGGGAAUCUUCCGCAAUGGACGAAAGUCUGACGGAGCAACGCCGCGUGAACGAUGAAGGUCUUCGGAUCGUAAAGUUCUGUUGUCAGGGAAGAACAAGUGCCGUGCGAAUAGAGCGGCACCUUGACGGUACCUGACGAGGAAGCCCCGGCUAACUACGUGCCAGCAGCCGCGGUAAUACGUAGGGGGCAAGCGUUGUCCGGAAUUAUUGGGCGUAAAGCGCGCGCAGGCGGUUUCUUAAGUCUGAUGUGAAAGCCCACGGCUCAACCGUGGAGGGUCAUUGGAAACUGGGGAACUUGAGUACAGAAGAGGAGAGUGGAAUUCCACGUGUAGCGGUGAAAUGCGUAGAUAUGUGGAGGAACACCAGUGGCGAAGGCGACUCUCUGGUCUGUAACUGACGCUGAGGCGCGAAAGCGUGGGGAGC